GAUGAACGCUGGCGGCGUGCCUAAUACAUGCAAGUCGAGCGAACGGACGAGAAGCUUGCUUCUCUGAUGUUAGCGGCGGACGGUUGAGUAACACGUGGAUGACCUACCUAUAAGACUGGGAUAACUUCGGGAAACCGGAGCUAAUACCGGAUAAUAUUUUGAACCGCAUGGUUCAAAAGUGAAAGACGGUCUUGCUGUCACUUAUAGAUGGAUCCGCGCUGCAUUAGCUAGUUGGUAAGGUAACGGCUUACCAAGGCAACGAUGCAUAGCCGACCUGAGAGGGUGAUCGGCCACACUGGAACUGAGACACGGUCCAGACUCCUACGGGAGGCAGCAGUAGGGAAUCUUCCGCAAUGGGCGAAAGCCUGACGGAGCAACGCCGCGUGAGUGAUGAAGGUCUUCGGAUCGUAAAACUCUGUUAUUAGGGAAGAACAUAUGUGUAAGUAACUGUGCACAUCUUGACGGUACCUAAUCAGAAAGCCACGGCUAACUACGUG
rnacentral:rRNA from 1 species